AAGGUGGGAUUAGUGAUUGGGGUGAAGUCGUAACAAGGUAGCCGUAGGAGAACCUGCGGCUGGAUCACCUCCUUUCUAAGGAGA
rnacentral:rRNA from 1 species